AACGAACGCUGGCGGCAUGCCUAACACAUGCAAGUCGAACGAGACCUUCGGGUCUAGUGGCGCACGGGUGCGUAACGCGUGGGAACCUGCCCUUAGGUUCGGAAUAACUCCCCGAAAGGGGUGCUAAUGCCGGAUAAUGUCUUCGGACCAAAGAUUUAUCGCCUUUGGAUGGGCCCGCGUUGGAUUAGCUAGUUGGUACGGUAAAAGCCUACCAAGGCGACGAUCCAUAGCUGGUCUGAGAGGAUGAUCAGCCACACUGGGACUGAGACACGGCCCAGACUCCUACGGGAGGCAGCAGUGGGGAAUAUUGGACAAUGGGCGAAAGCCUGAUCCAGCAAUGCCGCGUGAGUGAUGAAGGCCUUAGGGUUGUAAAGCUCUUUUACCCGGGAUGAUAAUGACAGUACCGGGAGAAUAAGCUCCGGCUAACUCCGUG
rnacentral:rRNA from 1 species